CCUACGGGCGGCAGCAGUGAGGAAUAUUGGUCAAUGGACGAGAGUCUGAACCAGCCACGUAGCGUGAAGGAUGACUGCCCUAUGGGUUGUAAACUUCUUUUAUAUGGGAAUAAAAUGUUCCACGUGUGGGAUUUUGUAUGUACCAUAUGAAUAAGGAUCGGCUAACUCCGUGCCAGCAGCCGCGGUAAUACGGAGAAUCCGAGCGUUAUCCGGAUUUAUUGGGUUUAAAGGGAGCGUAGGUGGAUUGUUAAGUCAGUUGUGAAAGUUUGCGGCUCAACCGUAAAAUUGCAGUUGAAACUGGCAGUCUUGAGUACAGUAGAGGUAGGCGGAAUUCGUGGUGUAGCGGUGAAAUGCGUAGAUAUCACGAAGAACUCCGAUUGCGAAGGCAGUUCACUGGACUGCAACUGACACUGAGGCUCGAAAGUGUGGGUAUCAAACAGGAUUAGAUACCCGAGUAGUC
rnacentral:rRNA from 1 species